rnacentral:rRNA from 1 species
CGUAACAAGGUCUCCGUAGGUGAACCUGCGGAGGGAUCAUUACACAAAUAUGAAGGCGGGCUGGAACCUCUCGGGGUUACAGCCUUGCUGAAUUAUUCACCCUUGUCUUUUGCGUACUUCUUGUUUCCUUGGUGGGUUCGCCCACCACUAGGACAAACAUAAACCUUUUGUAAUUGCAAUCAGCGUCAGUAACAAAUUAAUAAUUACAACUUUCAACAACGGAUCUCUUGGUUCUGGCAUCGAUGAAGAACGCAGCGAAAUGCGAUAAGUAGUGUGAAUUGCAGAAUUCAGUGAAUCAUCGAAUCUUUGAACGCACAUUGCGCCCUUUGGUAUUCCAAAGGGCAUGCCUGUUCGAGCGUCAUUUGUACCCUCAAGCUUUGCUUGGUGUUGGGCGUCUUGUCUCUAGCUUUGCUGGAGACUCGCCUUAAAGUAAUUGGCAGCCGGCCUACUGGUUUCGGAGCGCAGCACAAGUCGCACUCUCUAUCAGCAAAGGUCUAGCAUCCACUAAGCCUUUUUUUCAACUUUUGACCUCGGAUCAGGUAGGGAUACCCGCUGAACUUAAGCAUAUCA